rnacentral:lncRNA from 1 species
AACACUUUAUUCAAGGUACAAUAUUCCAUGAGCACAAGCUACUAUUCACAAAGAAUCUUCUCAAGGGGACAAAAAGAUAACUUGGAUAUAAUCCACUAAUCACAAAGCAUCUUCUCAAGGAGACAAAAGAUGUCUUGGAUCGAUGAAAUCUACUAUUAACAAAAGAAUCUUCCCAAGAAAAGAGAAGACAAGUCUUGGACUCAUGUGAGGAAUCAAAGAACCAUCCAUUGAAGAUCCAAGGGUGGACAAGUGAUGACCAAGGCUAUAAAUAAAGGGGUAACACUCUCAUUUUCGUUCACCACACCUAAAGCAUUUCAAAGAGCUUCCAAAAAUUCUCAAGUGUUCUAGCUUUCCAAAGCUUCAAAAGCUUCUCAACUUCUUCUUCUAAUCCUCUUGUUCAUCUUUACAAGUAAGAAGUUUUGUGUGUUUAAUAUUCCACUCCUCUAAUCAUCUCUUGUGUGUGUCUACUUUGCUUGAGAGGUUUGUCUCAAUAUCACCAAAGUAUGAGAGAAAGUUUUUGAGCUAGCUCAACCAUAAAGCUCUAAGUUUGGUUCUAUAGAGCAAUAAAUUUUAGACCAAAACGACCAGAACCAAUAGAGCAAAAAAAUUUAGGGGACCAGUUCGAUGAAGAACAUCGAAGAAAGUGGACUAAGAGAUUGAGGCAACCAGAUGCACCAACUCCCGCCAC